rnacentral:rRNA from 1 species
UACGUAGGUGGCGAGCGUUAUCCGGAAUUAUUGGGCGUAAAGCGCGCGCAGGUGGUUUCUUAAGUCUGAUGUGAAAGCCCACGGCUCAACCGUGGAGGGUCAUUGGAAACUGGGAGACUUGAGUGCAGGAGAGGAAAGUGGAAUUCCAAGUGUAGCGGUGAAAUGCGUAGAGAUUUGGAGGAACACCAGUGGCGAAGGCGACUUUCUGGCCUGUAACUGACACUGAGGCGCGAAAGCGUGGGGAGCAAACAGG